rnacentral:rRNA from 1 species
CCUACGGGAGGCAGCAGUGAGGAAUAUUGGUCAAUGGCCGGAAGGCUGAACCAGCCAAGCCGCGUGAAGGACGAAGGUGCCAAGCAUUGUAAACUUCUUUUGCCAAGGGACAAAAUCAGGCUCGAGAGCCUGACCGAGGGUACUUGAAGAAAAAGCAUCGGCUAACUCCGGCCCAGCAGCCGCGGUACUACGGAGGAUGCGAGCGUUAUCCGGAUUUAUGGGGUUUAAGGGGUGCGUAGGGGGGCGGUUAAGUUAGCGGUAAAAGCCCGGGGCUCAACCCCGGCGAGCCGAUGAAACUGGCUGUCUUGAGAUGUCGAGAGGUAUGCGGAAUGCGCAGUGUAGCGGUGAAAUGCUUAGAUAUUGCGCAGAACUCCGAUGGCGAAGGCAGCAUACCGGCGGCGAUCUGACGCUGAGGCACGAAAGCGUGGGUAUCGAACAGGAUUAGAUACCCCUGUAGUC